rnacentral:rRNA from 1 species
GGGCGGCGGCUACACAUGCAGUCGAGCGGAUGAAGGGAGCUUGCUCCUGGAUUCAGCGGCGGACGGGUGAGUAAUGCCUAGGAAUCUGCCUGGUAGUGGGGGAUAACGUCCGGAAACGGGCGCUAAUACCGCAUACGUCCUGAGGGAGAAAGUGGGGGAUCUUCGGACCUCACGCUAUCAGAUGAGCCUAGGUCGGAUUAGCUAGUUGGUGGGGUAAAGGCCUACCAAGGCGACGAUCCGUAACUGGUCUGAGAGGAUGAUCAG